CUAUAGAUAUGGCUACUUCUUCUGCUUCACCAGCAAUUUAAGAAAUCCUUUAUUCUGAUUGGUCCUGACAACUGAAAUUUCAUCUUCUAUGUCUUGACAACUGAAAUUUCAUCUUCCAUGUGUUCAAUGAUAGGAGAUUUUUACCUGGGAUUUUUCCUUCACCAUCUAUGCACAAAGCCCAAACAAGAUUUAAAGAUUUUAUUUAUUUAUUUAUUUUCUAAGAGACUUUCUGGCCAGUUCAACCAGCUGGAUUUCCAGAUUAUGUGACAAGAAGGAGGGAAAGAGAAGAUAAAUCCGUGACAGUAACCAAGAACAUGAGAGAAGAAUUCCAUGACAAAUUGACAAUAAUGCAUCUCCUCUAUGGUGGGCAAGAUCAUCCAGGGUAUAGCCUCAUUGUGAUUUGUGCAGCUUGCAAUCACCACUGGGAAGUCAAAUUCAAAAAUUCUGAUCCAAACCUGACUGCUUCCCUGGAAGCCAUGGGAGAGACCUGCACUUUUUCUCACUAUUAUAUAUCCAUUUUUUACCUUCCAAAUGCUCUUGCACAAGUCAGAUUUGAGCUUUGCAAUAUUGUCAAGGUUACUUGCUAUUAGAUCCUCCCUAACUCCUUGAAGGAAAGGAAACCUUUAGACUCUGUUUGGCAUCCCAGUUCACUUGCAAAUCAAGGAAAGGAAUCUAUUGAGAACAUAAAGGAGUAGCAAAGCAUAGCUUCCUUCAAGAAAUCCUUCUGUGCCGAUUGUAAUCCUCUUUGUCAUAGUGACACACCAGCUUCUCAUGGCACAAAGAACUUCAUUGAAAACUUCAGCUAUCAGAUCCCUAUCUGCACAUUGCAUGAAGACAUUGAAAUCAUCUCGAAUAUCAAAUAUCUUACCAAACUUCACAAGAUAUUGCAAGCAGUUCAUCUUCAGUUUUGGUAACUGAUACAGGGAUGCACUUUGCAGCCUCUCCAGUACAUUCUUCGUAUCUAUAUCCUCCAAUAGACUGUCAUGGCAUGCCUCUUUCAAGUCAGCAAUAUCAUAUUUAUCAGCUGCUCGAAGAAGUGCCAGACGGUGGACCUGGAAUUCUUCAUGUUGAAUGCUUCCAUAAAUGUAAUUGAGAAAAGCCUGGCAAGCUUCAAUCGACAUAUCAGAGAUGUUUAUGGUAGACAACUCCUUCUCUUUCAAGUCAUGAGCAAACAUGCUUCGGAAAACAGGUGAUCUUGCGGCAAGGACGGCUCGAUGGGCUCCAAUGCUUCCAUCAGAAGCAUUAAUUGUAAUGUCUGUAUGGAUGCUUUCUGUCAACAUUCGACCAAGGGUUGCAAGAGCUGUUGCAUUUGAUUGCCCUUUUGCAGAUCCUUCAGCCCAGAUGGAACAAGGUUCUCCUCCCUGUAUAUUGAAAAGCAAAUCACAUUUGUUAAAAUAAAGGCAAAGAACCCUUCUUCUACACUAGAUUUCAACAGCACUAGCUCCCAUGUGAAAAAAAAAUGAUACACCAGUUGGGUAUUCUAUAAUGGUAAGCAGAUAGAAAAUUUUGGCUCCUUUUCGUUCAACUUGAAGGAUUUUUUGCUAUUUAAAUGUUGUUCUAAUGAAGAUUGCUUUUUUUUUGUGGUCA